rnacentral:rRNA from 1 species
GAUGAACGCUAGCUACAGGCUUAACACAUGCAAGUCGAGGGGAAACGACAUCGAAAGCUUGCUUUUGAUGGGCGUCGACCGGCGCACGGGUGAGUAACGCGUAUCCAACCUGCCCAUCACUUGGGAAUAACCUUGCGAAAGUAAGACUAAUACCCAAUGAUAUCCCACGAAGGCAUCGGAAUGGGAUUAAAGAUUUAUCGGUGAUGGAUGGGGAUGCGUCUGAUUAGCUUGUUGGCGGGGUAACGGCCCACCAAGGCAACGAUCAGUAGGGGUUCUGAGAGGAAGGUCCCCCACAUUGGAACUGAGACACGGUCCAAACUCCUACGGGAGGCAGCAGUGAGGAAUAUUGGUCAAUGGGCGAGAGCCUGAACCAGCCAAGUAGCGUGCAGGAAGACGGCCCUAUGGGUUGUAAACUGCUUUUAUAAGGGAAUAAAGUGGGUCACGUGUGACUUUUUGCAUGUACCCUAUGAAUAAGGACCGGCUAAUUCCGUG